AGUGAACGCUGGCGGUAGGCCUAACACAUGCAAGUCGAACGGCAGCACAGUAAGAGCUUGCUCUUACGGGUGGCGAGUGGCGGACGGGUGAGGAAUACAUCGGACUCUACUUUUUCGUGGGGGAUAACGUAGGGAAACUUACGCUAAUACCGCAUACGACCUACGGGUGAAAGCAGGGGAUCUUCGGACCUUGCGCGAUUGAAUGAGCCGAUGUCGGAUUAGCUAGUUGGCGGGGUAAAGGCCCACCAAGGCGACGAUCCGUAGCUGGUCUGAGAGGAUGAUCAGCCACACUGGAACUGAGACACGGUCCAGACUCCUACGGGAGGCAGCAGUGGGGAAUAUUGGACGAUGGGCGCAAGCCUGAUCCAGCCAUACCGCGUGGGUGAAGAAGGCCUUCGGGUUGUAAAGCCCUUUUGUUGGGAAAGAAAAGCAGCAGGUUAAUACCCCGCUGUUCUGACGGUACCCAAAGAAUAAGCACCGGCUAACUUCGUG
rnacentral:rRNA from 1 species